CUACGGGGUGCAGCAGUGGGGAAUAUUGGACAAUGGGGGAAACCCUGAUCCAGCAAUGCCGCGUGUGUGAAGAAGGCCUGCGGGUUGUAAAGCACUUUCGGUUGGGAGGACUGCUUCUAGCACUAAUAUUGUUGGAAGUUGACGUUACCUUCAGAAGAAGCACCGGCUAACUCCGUGCCAGCAGCCGCGGUAAUACGGGGGGUGCAAGCGUUAAUCGGAAUUACUGGGCGUAAAGCGCGCGUAGGCGGCUAGAUCAGUCGGGUGUGAAAGCCCCGGGCUUAACCUGGGAACUGCAUCCGAUAGGGUCUAGCUUGAGUACAGGAGAGGAGAGGGGAAUUCCACAUGUAGCGGUGAAAUGCGUAGAUAUGUGGAGGAACACCAAUGGCGAAGGCAGCUCUCUGGCCUGAUACUGACGCUGAGGUGCGAAAGCGUGGGGAGCAAACAGGAUUAGAUACCCCGGUAGUC
rnacentral:rRNA from 1 species